GAUGAACGCUGGCGGCGUGCUUAACACAUGCAAGUCGAACGGGAAACAUUUCAUUGAGGCUUCGGCGGAUUUGAUCUGUUUCUAGUGGCGGACGGGUGAGUAACGCGUGGGUAACCUGCCUUAUACUGGGGGAUAACAGCCAGAAAUGACCGCUAAUACCGCAUAAGCGCACAGAACCGCAUGGUUCGGUGUGAAAAACUCCGGUGGUAUAAGAUGGACCCGCGUUGGAUUAGCUAGUUGGCAGGGCAGCGGCCUACCAAGGCAACGAUCCAUAGCCGGCCUGAGAGGGUGAACGGCCACAUUGGGACUGAGACACGGCCCAGACUCCUACGGGAGGCAGCAGUGGGGAAUAUUGCACAAUGGGGGAAACCCUGAUGCAGCGACGCCGCGUGAAGGAAGAAGUAUCUCGGUAUGUAAACUUCUAUCAGCAGGGAAGAUAAUGACGGUACCUGACUAAGAAGCCCCGGCUAACUACGUGCCAGCAGCCGCGGUAAUACGUAGGGGGCAAGCGUUAUCCGGAUUUACUGGGUGUAAAGGGAGCGUAGACGGCGCAGCAAGUCUGAUGUGAAAGGCAGGGGCUUAACCCCUGGACUGCAUUGGAAACUGCUGUGCUUGAGUGCCGGAGGGGUAAGCGGAAUUCCUAGUGUAGCGGUGAAAUGCAUAGAUAUUAGGAGGAACACCAGUGGCGAAGGCGG
rnacentral:rRNA from 1 species